GUCAAUAUGGAUCUCAUGGAGCUCCUGGGAAGGAUAUGUUAAGUGAGAGCAAAUUGAAGGAUUUGCUUCAUGGAUCUGAGUAUGUCCUCACUUACGAAGAUAAGGAUGGGGACUGGAUGCUUGUCGGUGAUGUCCCCUGGGAGAUGUUUAUCGAUACUUGCAAAAGGUUGAGGAUCAUGAAAGGUUCAGAUGCCAUUGGCCUGGCCCCAAGGGCUAUGGAAAAGUGUCGGAGCAGAAAUUAGCCUAUCUACACAUGAUUAAAGCUAUCCAUCCAGCAUUUCUAGUAGGCGAGGAAGACACAAAAACGGGUGAAGAGCUCAUAAACUUGAAUCCUUUUUAAAGGCAUGAACAGUAGCUGGUUGUUGGUCUUGGAUAGCUCAGCAUGGGUAGAUGCUUUACCUGAUUACGACAUGGUGUUCUUUUAUAUUUGCGUAAUAUAUGUCCUCUUUUAAGUUUUUUUUUAUCAUGUCUAUUUAAAAAACCGUUUGAUAUUGGAGUUUGUCUGCAAACUAAUGUGUGUUGUGUACUGAGAGCUCUUCUAGAGGUAAUUUAGUAAUGUUCUAAGUGUAUUUGCUUGUUUAAGUUCCCUUAAGUGUGUACUUUAGACCCAACGUUUGUCGUUUGAUUAAGUAUGCGUGUGCACUUCAGAAAUUGUUAUUACUGUAUGAAUAAAUGUGUCCUCCA
rnacentral:misc_RNA from 1 species